rnacentral:lncRNA from 10 species
UUGAAAAAAAAUGAGGACCCGUCUUUUUUAGGUCACAAGAUUGCGCCAACCCUUACAUGGUCCUUAAAAAAAAAACCUUCUGACACUGCAGUAGUGAAAAUGAAGCGCACGAUGGGCGGAAGCUAGGAAGACAAACAUAAAGAUGAAGUGCUUAAUUCAAGGUCACACAAUGUCGGGGAUGGACCUCCAGAUUUCCUUACUGGAAAACAAGCUCAGGGCUCCCACUGAUUGUACAUUAUGAGACGGAGUCUUGCUAUGUUGCCCAGGCUGGUCUUGAACUCCUCACCUCAAGCGAUCCUCCCGUCUUGGCCUCCCAAGUGUCAGGAUUACGGGCAUGUGCUAUCACACCCAACCUGAUACAUUGCCUUUAUAAAUUUUUUUUUCUUUAUUCUAAAAACCAGAAAAAACAAAACUGGAUACAUGUGCAGAACAUGCAGACCAAGUGUGUUGGGGACUUGAGAUGCGUACAUGAGUGUGAUGUUUCCUGCUGAAAGCACAGGUGAGACGUGGUCUUGUAACACAGUGGUUAAGAAUGUGACUUUGGAGCCAGCCUGCUAGGGGCUGAAUUCUGACUCAGCCAUUUACUAACUGUGUGACCUUAGGGAGGAGGACCUGGUUGAUAGAAGAAUUUAUCUCGUAGUCUUAACAUCCACUGUAAUUCCAAACUUUGAGGACGAUAGAGAUCAGUGGGCUUUGACUGCCCAGCAUGCAGUCUCCAUUCUUAGGUGGGUUCCCAAGCCUGUAAAAUGUAAGCCUUAUGCUGCUGAGGGCCAUCUUGCCACCCUGAGGGAAACGCUGCCUGAGAAUGAAACAAGCAUAAGUAAAAGCUGAGCUGUGAGAUGGAGCAAGAUGAAGGCCACAUGACAUCUUUGGAGCACCUGGAUCUAACUGUGCCUUAAGCUAGUCUAACCCUGAACAUUUCAUCAUUUCAUUGACAUGAGCCCAGGUUUUCUUUUUUUUUGGAUGGAGUCUUGCUCUGUCGCCCAGGCUGGAGUGCAGUAGCUCAAUCUCGGCUCACUGCAAGCUCCACCUCCCGGGUUCACGCCAUUCUCCUGCCUUAGCCUCCCAAGUAGCUGGGACAACAGGCGCCCACCACCACUCCCAGCUAAUUUUUUGUAUUUUUAGUAGAGACGGGGUUUUACCAUGUUAGCCGGGAUGGUCUUGAUCUCCUGACCUCAUGAUCCGCCCGCCUCGGCCUCCCAAAGUGCUGGGAUUACAGGUGUGAGCCACUGCACCCAGCCCUCAGGUUUUCCCUUUUUUUACCCCUCCUUUUGAAAAUUUGAUGUGGAAUUUUGCCACCUGCAGCCAGAAGAGUUUUAACUAAUCAGUGCCAUAAAUUUUAUAUAGUUCUCCUUGCAAAAUGUGGAUCAGCCUUUCUCAGCAAAUCCUUUGUCAUAAAGUGCUGAAUUGUAAGUUUGUCAUGAGAAUCACAUGAGAUCAUGCAUGUGAAGAACCUGGCAUUAUCCUCCUCAUAGAAAAAAACCAGUAAAUAUUAACUACAGGAAGCAAGGAAGGAGUGGGGUGAGGGGAAGAAGAAGGGGUACUGAUUUAAAAGAACCCUGGAGUCCUAAGGAUAAUCUAGGAACCCUCAGACCCAAUCCGAUACCCCUAUUCUAAAUGCUCCUAGUGCCCUGUACCUUCCCCUCAUAAGCCUUCAUUAUCAUUGUAAUGAUAUGUUUAUGUAAUAUUUUGAUUAAUGUCUCUCCUUCACUGACCUAGCAGUUCUAGCAGGGCAGUGAUUUUGCUGUGUUGCAUCCCCAGCACCUAGUCUGGUAUGUGGCAUUCAGCAUAUGUUUAUUGAAUGAAUGGCCAUGUGGUUAUUCAGAUCCUCCUUGAUUAUUGGGGUUAGGAUUGUGGCAGAAGUGGCAAAAUCAGGGAGAGUAGUCCCUGUCCCCUCUGUAUCUUAUACACUGCCCACACUCCCAACACACAUACACAUACAGAGAAUUUUGUCUCAAUUAGAUAAUUAACUUCUGCUUGGUUGUAAACCAAACCACUGGUUCUUAAACUUUCAUUGGAUCAUUUUAUUGAAGAAUUAAAUAGUGUGGUUCUGGCCUAAUGUCUGGAAAGCCUUGCAGAGGAGUGGAUUAGGUCUUUGUGAUAAACAGGCAGCCUUCCCUGCUCCUGUGUCUUUAUAAAAUCUAUUUAACUGGAGUAGUCCACCCUCCCUCAGGCUCUUACAGGAAUAUGUUGGAGGCUGUAGGAAGGUGGGAAACCGAGAGGGAAAGGACUGGGCCGCUGGAGACUUCACUCAUUCCCUAGCAAGAAACAAAAGCAGUAAAAGGUGGCCCGAGGACAACCUGAAGCUCACUCCUUCAGCACUUUUGGCUGGAGGUCACUUGUUGGAGCCCCACUCAGAGCUCAGCACACCACCCCACCAGCAGCCUCCUCCUCCCAGCUGAGGCUGCAUUUCAUCCCUUCCCCCAGCCUGCUUUCCCUGAGAUAGGGGAGUGUUUCCCAGGGCCCAUGUGACUUCCACUGGCAAGUGACGAUUACCAAUGGUUUACUAGUCAGUGAAACUACCAAAGGCUUUUGUGCUGUAGUAAUCCUUUUCCUGUUUAAAACUCUGGGGAUUUUCUAAUGUUGCCAAUAGUUUUUCAAGUCAGCAAUUACUGUGUGGAUUAUGUAAUGGCUCGGUAUUAAAAAUAGAAAAGACUGGAGUUUGCAUCUAUUUUAACCAAAUCUUGAAAACAGAGCAAAGGGAGGGGAAGGGUGGAGAGGGAGAGACCAGAGGAGGAGGGAGAAAAAGAGAUCAUGUGACUGGAUAAGACAGCUCACAAUUCACUGUGCCUUUCUCCCACCAUUUGUGGCCCAAGGACCUGUACUCCCUCCUCAGCCUCCUCUAGGGAGGGGUCCUUGAUGAGAAUUCUGAGGACACAAGACCCCUUGUGGAUAUUUCUUAGCUCAGCCUUGGUGUGCUUACCUGCUUCUGACAAGCAAAGUGGCCAAGUAGGGGAGGGAGUUGAAUCUGAUGUCCUCCACUAAGUCCAG